ACACAAAAUACCCCUUUCAUUAGAUUCCAAAAAAUAAUACAUUUAAUUACGUUAUAUUUUUUAUUUCAAUUCCAGUGUUGAACGUUUGACCUGUGGUACCCCACCCCCUCGUUUACCACAACUAACGUUACAGUUCCUCUCUCUCCCCCCAUCUCUUUCCAUGGCAAAGCCUUUCCCUAUCUCUAUGACCAUUUUUGGGUAACAAUUCAACUAUUCUUCAGCCAUGGCAGAGUAUUGUCGUACAUAUUCAGGUAAAUCUCUGUCUCUCUUGCUUUAUCUUUUCAAGAUCCAUGUUGUUUUGUGAUCUCCUUCAAUUUGGUCAACAUAAAAGACCAAAAUUACUUUUGAAAUCUCCGUGGAAGAAUCACCAAGUCAGAGAUUCAAUUUUAAACGGCUACUUUUCAAAAUCAAAUCUGAAAAAGUCCCGCUCAAGAAGCCAUAGUUAUAAUCUGUUGUUAUAAAUACCUGCAUUUGGCCUUUAUUUCGGACCAACUGGUAGUCGCCGCUUCUCCCCUACAAACUUUCAAAAUACCUUCUACUUCAUACAUAUCCUCCAUAAAUAUAAGAUUUAAAUCGCGUUUCAUUACUCAUCUUCCCCCCGAUCUCAGAUCUUUUUUGGCCUUCUGCCGUGACAAAGAUUUCUAUCGGUCUGAUUAUGUCGCUUGGGUCAUGAAGGAGAUUUGCAGCGGAGAAUCGAGUAGUCGUUGGCAAACGUCCCAGUUUACUACCCUACAAAAGGUUAGUGACCUUGUAAUAAUACUGUCGGUCAUUUUAAGAAUUAAUGUCCUGAUAUCCUAUUAACUGCAUUUCUCGUGUUUGUUUUUACUGUUGUGAGUUGUUGGAAGGAUUUAUUUGGAAUAUUAGAGAGUUUUGGGACACUUAGUCCCUAAAUGAGAGCUUAAAUUUUAGAAUUUGGACCGUAGUCGGAGCGGUAUGAAGACGUCCUCGGAAUCUAAUUUUGUUGGUUCUGUUAGCUCCGUUAGGUGAUUUCAGGUUUGGAAGUGUUUUCGGAUUGUAUUUUGAAGGUCCGUAGCUAAUUUAAGCUUGGAAAGUCGAAAAUUAAAUUUUUGAAGUUUCCGGUUUGAUAGUGAGAUUUUGAUCUAAGGGUCGGAAUGAAAUUUCGGAAGUUGGAGUAGCUCCGUAGUGUCGAAUGUGACGUGUAUGCAAAAUUUCAGGUCAUUCGAAUGAGGUUUGAUAGACUUUUUGAUCAAAAGCGCAAUUUGAGAGUUUUUGAAGUUAUUAGGCUUGAAUCCGAUGUUAAGUUGUUGGUUCGAUAUUGUUUUAGGUGUUUUGAAGAUUUAUAUAAGUUUAGAUAGUGGUAUAAGACUUGUUCGUACCUUUGGUUGAGGUCCCGGGGACCUCAAGGUGGUUUCAAAUGGUUAACGGGAGAUUUUUGAGUUUGGUUUAGCUAUUGAAGUUUUUCCAUUGCUGUCAUAAUCGCAUUUUACGGCUAGGGGACCGCAUGUGCAGACUCGCAAAAGCGGGCAUGGAGCCGCAGAUGCGGCCACAAGCGAAGGCAGCAGAGACCGCAGAAGCGAAAGGUUUACUGUACCUGUGGGAUUGCAGAUGUGGUAUCUGGGUCGCAGGUGCGGAGUUGGAGGUUUUAGUGAAAACCACAGAAGCGGUAGAGCAGAAGCAGGAAUGUUGACCGCAUGUGCGGAUUUAUUGGGGAGAAAAUAAGAAUUUCGAGGGUUUAGUUUCAAAAUUUAGAAAACUAAUUUGGAGCUCGGAGAGGGAGAUUUCGGGAGGAUUUUGAAGAGGAAAUCAGUGGGUAACGAUUUCUAUUCCCUUUCUAGUUGUAUUUCUAUAAUCUAGUAUUAGUUUUGUCAUUUAAUUUCGGAUUUGGGAUGAAAACUGGAAAUUUUUUUGGAGAAAGUUCUUAGACCUAAAUUUUAAAUUUCGAUUGGGGAUUUGACGUUAGAUUUGGAUAAUUUUGGUAUGGUUAGACUUGUGAGAAUGUGAGGAUUCUGAAUAUGUAAAUUUUAUCUGAUUUUGAGAAGUGACCACGAGGGGCGUUUUGGUUAUUUUACCUAUUUUCGCGUAUUUUCUUAGAAUUUAUUUAUAAAAUCAGUUGUUUGAAGUGUUAUUUACAUUAUGUGAUUCAAUUGAAUAGAUUUGGGCCAUUUGGAAUCGAGUACUCGUGGCAAGAAAAUGGUUUUGAGUUGAUUUUGAGCAUGUUCGAGGUAAGUGGCUUGUCUAACCUUGUGCGGGAAACUCCCGCUUAGGAGUUGGUAUUGUUGAUAUUUGAAAUGCCUUGUACGUGAGGUAACGAGCGCAUACUUGAGCUAAUCGCUGAAAAUACAUUUUCAUAAAGUAACUAAAAUUGUUUUCCCUUUCCUGUUUACACUACCUACAAUUUAAGCAUGCCGUUAGCUUAGGGAAGCAUGUCUAAUUGACUUAAUCGCUUAUUUUCUCAACUGCCUUAUUUAGAUUAUGUGAAGCAUGCUAUAUAAGAAAUACCUAUUUUACCUUGGUAUGAAAUUUGAAUUGAAUUGAGUAUUCUUCGUGUUGUCGCUGUGUAUUUAUAUUUGGGACUACGAGACGUUAUCUAGGGAGAUCCCUUUGUAUGUUUACUUUGGGACUAUAUAUUUGUAUUCCGGGAGAUCCCCCUACACUUUUAUAUUGGAACUACAGGACUGCACCCAGUAGAUUCCUCCAGUACUGGAUAUUUACAUUUGGGACAAUAGACCGAGAUUCUAGUAGAUCUCCGCGCACUAUAAGUUGAAUUAUGGGAUGGUAUUCCAGGAGAUCCAUUGGAUAUAUGCAUAUGGACGACAGGACGGUAUCUCAGGAGAUUCAUUGGAUAUUUAUAUUUGAGACUACUGGAUGGUAUCCUAAGAGAUCCUCGGUUGUUAUCUCUAUGUUGAGUUAUAUUCCUUACUGUGAUUUCUUUGUCUAUGUUACAACUGUUGUUGUUCUUUCUAUUCUGUGUUGCUUCUUAUUGUUGCACUUUAUUAUACUGCCUUAUUCUAUUCUAUUAUACCUUGUAUUUUAUUUUACCUUAGUAGAGCCCUGACUUUCUUCGUUACUACCCGACCGAGGUUAGGCUUGACACUUACUGAGUACCGCUGUAGUGUACUGAUGCCCUUUCAACGCAUGUUUUUCAUGUGCAGAUUUGGGUACUUUCACUCAGUCUUACCACACUUGAGGCGAGACACUUUUGUAGAGACUUUGAGGUAUAUCUGCCGCGUCCGCAGACCGAAGAGUCCCUUUCUAUUCUCAGUGCUAGUAUAACCCUUCUAUAUUUUUUGAUGCCCUUUCCACGCAUGUUUUUCAUGUGCAGAUCCGGGUACUUCCACUCAUUCUUACCACACUUGACGCGAGACACUUUUAUAGAGACUUUGAGGUAUAUCUGCCGCGUCCACAGACCGAAGAGUCCUUUACUAUUCUCAGUACUAGUAUAACCCUUCUAUAUUUUCUUGUUGAUAGACAUUUCUGGAGUUAGAGCUUUUUAUGUAAUCUCUUAACUUGUGAUUCAUGGGGUUCCGAAUUUUAGGAGUGUUAAAUUGAGAAUCUUGUACCGUUAUAUGCCAGGCAGCAUCUAAAACAUUAUUUCACCUUGUUAUUUUGGUUUUAAUUAUUUCUUUUUGGAAAUUGUUUAUGUUCUGCAUUUGUUAGGCUUACCUAGUCGUAGAGACUAGGUGCCGUCACGAUGAUUCACGAAGGACGAACUUGGAUCGUUACAGACCUCUAACAUUAAGUUCCUUUUUCUGUUAUUAUUAUUUUUUUAUGUUAAAGGCAAAUAGUUAUUUCUUUUUGAAAAUUAGUAGUAGUUCACUUCCUACUUAGAGAUCAUGAUUUUGGACUCAUUUUGUACACAUAAAAGUCAUGUCUAUAGGGGAAUUAUAUUCCAAUUGUGUUUGUCUAGAAACCCA
rnacentral:lncRNA from 1 species